rnacentral:lncRNA from 1 species
AAUCCAUAUCCAUUUUUUAUAACCAAGCAUGAUCCAAUAAACAUGUCAUAUGCCAUUUGCUUACAUGAAAUUUGGCAUUGUGUGAAUCAUUUUACAUAAGCUAAAUACUAUUACAACUUAUUAUAUCCUAAUGACUAAUACAUUUACAAUAAUUGGUUGGAAUUAAAAGGAAAUAUGGAGGAAAAAUUCCACAACAAAAAAAAAACUCUUCAACCUUUUCCCUCACCGUCUCCCUCCACCAUCAUCAUGCACAAGACUCACCGUCACUCCUUGAACCAAUCUUCACAAGUCCAGAAAUAUGUAACAUCAGCCAAAACAAUCCAACACACAGCUGAUUCAUUUUCUUCCGAAAACUUCCUGCACAAUAUUAACCAUAACAAUAUCAGCACGCGAGCAGCAAAGACAACAGAGGAGACAUUCAAACACCGACGGCAACCGCAGAAAUAACCGCAGUCAUCUCAACAUGAUAUUAUAAAUAACGGUGUCAUUGCUUCUAACCAGAUCUCAAAUCAAUUUGUUCAGCUUCGUGUGAUACACAAGAACCCUGCAAACAAAGCCAUAGUGAAAUCACAACAGCAUCAACCAAAAUCAUGACCAAACAGGCUUUGAAAUUAUUUUAUCAGAUGGCUAAUGAUUGUGAUACUAAGCCUAACAAUGUAACUUUUUAUCUCAAUUCUAUCUUCUUGAAGUCAUUCAGGUUUAAUUAAAGAAGGGAUAACAAUGUUUGAUAUCAUGAUUAGCGAGUAUCAAUUGGUACCAAUCAGAGCAUUAUGCGAUAACGGUUGAUCUUCUUGGUCGAAUGGGAGAGUUGAAUACGGCUUCGGACGUAAUUAACGACAUUCCAAUGCAAGCUGGGCCUGAUAUAUGGGGAGCCUCACUCGACGCCUGUCGCCGACAUCAAUAUGAAGAUGUAAUCUGCCUUAACCUCUUCUUUAAGGAGUCUUGAGAAAUUCAAACUCAAACCAUAAAAAGGAGAAUAAGAGGAUCAACAAGCAGAAGAAGCAAAUUAAAAAAAUUUGAAUGGUUUUGAAGGCUGGGUAGAUCCCAAAAUCGUUUCUAGUAGUACUAGAAAAAAAUCCAAAAAGAAAAUAUCACAGUGUAUUCCGUAAAAAAAGGAAAGCCACAAAUGACUCAGAGGAGGAUUACCUUUCGUUUAAGUGAUGGUCGUUUGAAUCAGCUUUGAAGGACCUUUAGUUUUCGCAAUAGAAAGUCUCUUGAAGCUUGCACUGCCGGCAAUCUCUUGUGGACAACCGGUGAAGCAUUGAGAAUUGAGAAAGAAUAACUUUGCCGUUGUUAAUUUUGCUGUCAAAUGCAAGAAUAAUAACAGUACGACAAUUUCUCAGAGCCUACAGUUUUAUAAAGGAAUUGCAAAUUAUUAUGAAGCUUACAAUUCGAUGUGCAUCGGGGCAUACUUUUCGGAGAUCAUGCUUACCGUUGUUGAACAUUACAGUGCAAUUGUUCCAUGGCAAUUAGUAGCUCAGAAGGUCGAUGGCUCUUUGGUUGACGAAAGACCCUGGUGUUCAUCCUGAAACUUACAACAAAAGAUGAUAAUUACAAACUGUGGCCAACAAAAUCAACCAAACAGUUCCAGACUCGCGACAAAAGUAUGUUUUCGGGAUGUGUCGGAAUGACUUGUUGUUAUGUUCUCAAUUUUCUCUAGAAAGGAGGCAUGGAUUUUGCGGGAUUGUUAUCUGCUUGUUGUUAAUUUAAGAGUGCUAGCAAUGUCUCGUGCAUUUGGCAACCGGUAUGCUGAAGCCAUUUGUUGUAGCAGAACCUGAGAUCCAGGAGCAGAAAAUAGAGAAGAAACCGGGGUGAGAGCAAUAUCCUGCCAAACAACAACAAACAAUGUCAAAUUGUUACAAAAUUAAAAACUCGGAAGAAAGCAAUUUCAAUAUUUUCAAGAGAACAAUUUCAAGGCAAAAAAUGUGAUCCUUGGAGACAGAGUCCCAUUUAUUAUGUUUAUUACUAUAAUAAUCAUAAACCUCAGAAGUUGCUGUGUCGCAUACCAAAUGGCACCAGUUUGGUCCUCAUGCUCAAACCGUUUUGUUGUCGCCGCAACCAAACUUCAAUCUCACAUUUGUUUCACUGCCGCCAUUGCCAUUCAUCACUAUAGCACAUCUCCUCACAAAUUACCCAACCAUAACCUGCAAAAAAUUAAACCAAAUCACAUUGGUCACUAUCAAAACCGCACAUUCAACAAGUCAGAGUUCAAACACAUCAAAUCCAUCUCAUAAACCUGCAACAUCAUCCACAAUGAGUACAACAACAAUUUCUUCGUAAUAAAGUGCAUAAUGCCGGAGGUUACACUUAGCUCCCAAACCGAGCAGAAGCAAGGUCUGGCCGAGACGCUUAUAAAAUGCAUAACCGACAUUGUAAGGGUUUUGUUACGACAAUGUCGCAACAGUGAAUCUCGUCGUCACCAACAACGUUGGUGGUGGAAUGCCAGAAGGCAAGUGUUUCCCGUGUUCACGUGUUUAUGGAAGAACAACUGCCUGUGUAUUCAUGCCCUAUUAUAGGUCGUCAUAGAAUUUGUUCCCAUGUCAAAAUCGGAGACUAAAGUCUGGUUCUUUGGCGCAUCUAUUGUUGUGAAGCAAGGGGGAACCCGUAUAUCUCGAGACAAACAAGGAAACGAGCCAUCCAGAGAAGAAACAGGAACAUUUGCAGAUAUAAGAUCCUCAAAAACAUGCUUUGAAUGACUGUCAAUCUGUGUAACAGCUGAUACCUCAAUAGCCGGAAGUAUAUCAAGUAUAUGCUCGAAAACUUUUUCUGCCAGACUUUAAUAACAGCAGAAAGCAGAGAAAAUAUGAAGUUGUAAUGGUUCAUUCACCUACGACAACAGUUAUUGCAAAAUCCAAUUGGUCGAUUAUUUCGUUGAUAUAAGUGGGCUUGAGAUGGGGUGACCUCAUGGACUCUAGAUUACAUUCCAAAGGACUUAAUAAUAGAUGGACUGGGAUGCCUUUUACAAACUUGUGCUCAGCCAACGAAACUUCAGCCUUCAAUACACAGAAGCUUGAUUACAACCUUGUCUACGUUUUAUCAUUCCGAGAGUUGCCACCAAUGGGCCUAUCCAAUUGAGCCAUAUUCCGUUUAGAACUCGUACCUGUCACCAAAAUUUUUCGCAGCUACAUUGAAACCAGAGAAGCUUUUCUGCCCAAAUUCACUGCAGUAACACAAAUUAAUUAGUCAAAGCUGCGCAGAUUCGAAAAAAUCCCAAUUGGAAUAGAGACAAAACUCAAAGAGAAAGUUUUGAGCUCAGAUUACCUUUUCCAAUUGUAGCAUCAAACAGGAUAAUUCGAAAUUGUGAGCCCGGAAAGGAGUUCGCGGGGGAUGCUUCUUUCACCAAAGACCAAACGAAACCCUAAACAUAAAUAGGGAAAACGAAUCAGUGAGAAGGGGGACGAAAAACUUGGAGCGGAAACUCCACAGAAGAACCCUAAUCCCCAAAAAAUAGGAACGCAUUGGAAGGAGUGAAGGAGGGAGAUUCGUUACCUGAGUUGUCGUCGCCGUCGAAGGUCCGAAGUGAGCUCUUUGUUUCUUUUCGCACCGUGGUUUUCUGUGUGUGGAGAGGAGACUUCGUGAGGGCGACUGAGAGGAACGUGAGGUCGCGUGAGAGUGAGAGAGAGAUUUAGUUGAGAGAUUGAAAGAAACGUGAGGUGAGGAGCGUUUGAGGGAUGGAAAGAGAUGUAAGGGCGGGGAACGACGACUGAGGUGAGAGUGUGAGAGAGAAGUGAGAUUGGAAAGAACGAAGGACGCACGGUCUGUUCUUUGUUCCAUUCUUUUUCUUUUUUUAAUUUAUUUUUUAAACAAAGAUAAGCAAAAACCAUAAAAAAUUUAAUAUGUUUAGUAUUUCUUUUAGUAUUCCAAUUCCUAUCUCUAAACCCAACAGCCAGGCGGCUGGGUUUUUGGGGUAAUCCAACAGUUUUUUGUAUUAUUAUUAUUAUUUUGGUUUUAUUUUCUUAUUUUUUUUCGUCAAUAUUUCUGAUUUAUAAAGCCCAUUUGUCAUUGCGUAAAUAAUAACCAGUCAUGAAUGGCUAAGUGUGAGAAUAGGGUAGUUUCAUAGUCUUGACGUUGCUGGGUGCGUUCAUACUCAUACGUACGCGAUUUUUUUAGUAUUAUUUUCUUUUAGCAUUUUUAUUUCUUUUAGAAUUUAUUUUAUGUUAUGUUAUUUAAUAACUCAGUGGUUGAUCUGCUUCUUUAUAAUUAUCACAUAUCGCAUUCAAAAUCCAUUUUAAAUUAUAAAAUCAAUAUUUUUCUUCCGUUACAUAUGUCGAGCCCAUUUCCGACACCCUUGUAAGUCGACUGCUUUUUAAGCACGCCAUCGAACACUCUAUUCAUACGCUUACUCUUGGGGCGUUUCUUACAAAUGAAGCACGGUUUCUCUUGCACGUUACCAACAACGACUCAUAUUUCGCAUACAUUUGUUAGUUUGGGGGUGGGAUCUAAUUACUUUAGAUUUUGAAUCCCCAGUUGACAAAUUUUAGUAGCCCCACUUCCCAAUGAUGUAUAUAUAUUUUUUGGUUAUUAUUUAAUUUCCCUAUUUCUGUUUAGAUUAGCUAACCCAAGAAUAAAAUCUCACCAUCUUUCUAAAAAAAUACAAAAAGUGUGACUCAUUCAACGCUCGGAGUUGUUUCUCAAUAAACAAAUUCAACUCAUUCUUCUCUCGCCCGCCUCUUCCAUUCAGUUUUUCUAAACUUUCAUCAAACGCUUGGUUACACGUCAAGCCCUUUUCCUGAUAAAAACUCAAAAUAUUAAUCCCUAUCUAAAACCCUGUUCAAUAAGAUGAAAUGGACGUGGCGUAAUCACCACUUUGGUCCUGCAGACUAGGAUUCGAGAUGUAUAUCUCCGUCCCAACCUAGCUUCGCCAUCAUCCAAAUUUAUCCACUUUGCCAUCGAUACACUCAUUCAAUCUUUUCUUCAACAGUCGCACAUACUUGUUUAGCCGGUCAAGCAUUUUCAAUAAAAAACUCAAUAAUACCUAAUUCCUAUUUAACACUUUUUCAAUAAAGGUGGAAAUGGAACAUGGUGUAUACCAUGCCACUCCAUGCAGGACUAGGAUUCGAGAUUAUAUUUCUCGCCAAUCUUAGCUCUUUCGCCAUCGAUCUAAAAUUGUUCAAUACGCGUUUCUUUCAAACCCUUUCUCAAUUAAAUUCAAAAUACUUAAUUCCUAUCUUAACCUUUUCUCAAUAAGACUGGAAAUUGGAACAUCGCGUGUAUACCUGCACUCCUGGACUAGUAUUCGAGAUGUAUAUCUCGCCAAUCUUAGCUUUCCGCCCAUCCGUCUAAAUUGUCAAUGCCGGUUUCUUCAAACCCUUUCCUCAAUUAAAUUCCAAACAUACUUACUAUCCUAUCUUAACCUUUCUCAAUAAAGGAUGGGAAAUGGAACAUGGUGUAUACCAUGCCCUGAGGCUAGGGAUUCGAGAUGUAUAUCUCGCCUCAUCCAAGCUUCUCGCCAUCACUCAAAAUGCAUCCAACCAAUCAAUUCUUUCUCGCGCCGUGCGGGUUAAUCAAAAACCUUAUUCAUAAAUGAAGAUAUAUUGUCUUUAAGGAUACAAAAACAACGGGUUUCGGCCACGAUUGUUGGUUAAGAGAUGAACAUGACGCUUUUCCGAAUGUAGAUUUAUAAACCCUCUCCGUCGAUUUUGUGGUAUGCGUUCACUCCUCAUCGGUUUUCGGUGAAUAAUAAUGUUUUCUUCGAUUAAUACAGUAUGACUUUCGCUAAAAUCGACCAACAAACAAACAUUUUCUACCCAGAACUACGUAAGCCUUGAUUUCUCUUUUGAGAUACGUAGGAGCAGGAUUUAUAAAUCUUGUCAGGCCCACUAAUAAAAAACUUAGGUUUAGUCUUUCGUCAAAAAUCCAAAAAAACAUUUCUUCUCUCUUCUAUUCUUAUUCUUUCCAUCAUUAUAACUUGAGAAGACUAACAUAAUCUAACAUUCAAAACAAAACUAACUAAACGGUUUCCGUUGAAUACAACGGACGUGAGGGGUGCUAAUACCUUCCCCUUGCGUAACCGACUCCCGAACCCUGAUAUUGGUUGCGACGACCAUAUCUUAUCCUUUUCUUUUAGGGGUUUUAUCGAUAUUUUCCCUUUCCUUUUUAGGAAUAAAUAAAGUUCGGUGGCGACUUUGUUCAGUCCAUCAAUGCGAGCGUGCAAUCGCGCUUCGCUUAAAGUCGUAUCCCCAUUUUUUCGAGGUGCGACAGAUGGCGACUCUGCUGGGGAGUGUCGUUCCCUAAGUGAGUCAAGCCUAGUUAGGACGUUUGUGUGCCUCUGUUUGUUUAAUUGUGUGGUUUUUCCCUUAUUUGGUGCUUUUUAAUAUCUUUAUUGUUAUAUUGAUAUUUGUUGUAUAUUGGUUCCACCGUGUUGGGUACUUGGAUUUUGAUUGCAAACCAUGUGGGAAAGACUCUACACCCGAGUCUAGAGUGAAAAAAAAACAUAAGAUAGGACGAUGGUUGAGUAGUACGGACUCCCGAGGUGAAUACUUCGUAAGAGUCGGUACGAGAACCUCACUUAGAGUAGAUUCUUUUGCAAAUAUUGUCGCCCGAGGUGUAUACCUCGUUAGCUUCGAUGUUUCAAAGGGGUCCACGACUCUAAGAACCUUUUAGAACAUUGAAACUUUGGCCAACUAGAAAUGAUGGUUGUGUAGUAUGGAUUCCCGAGGUGAAUACUUCGUAAGAAUCGAUACGAGAACCUCGCUCAGAAUAGAUUCCCUAGAUGGAGUUGAUGACCGGAAAGUAUUUUCCGUAAGCGUCAAACAGUCUUUUGAAUCCAUGACUCUGAGUACCCUGUCUAGAACCCAGUCGAUGGUUGCGUAGUACGGACUCCCGAGGUGAAUACUUCGUAAGAGUCGGUACGAGAACCUCACCCAGAAUAGAUUCCCUUGAUGGAGUUGACGACCGGAAAGUAUUUCCCGUAAGCGUCAAACAUUCUUGUGAAUCAAUGACUCUGGGGAUCCUUUGUAACAAAGCCCUAGAUCAUACCCGGUGAGAACCCCGUUUUGGAAAAGCAAUCAAAUUUAUCAGUACCUUGGACUUUUGAACCCGUGUAUUGAAGAAAAAACACAAAUAUGCAUGGCUUGCAUUGCAUUCAUUCACAUUUCAUUGCAUCCGCAUCUCAUCAUAACGCAUGUCAUUUUCCAGACAAAAUAAAAAAACUCAUCCAUCCUUUGUCCGUAAAGCAAAGUGAUUCUCAACACGCGUUUAGAAUAAAGAACCAUGUCUCAGGAGAUGAUGGACGAGCUAAGGAAAAGCCAAGAAGCACUGAAGGGGGAACUUAAUCUUUUGAAGAGCCAAAUGAGAUGGGUCUUGGAAACCCUGCAAGUCUUGUUGGGAAAAGAGGGUCACCCAAUAUACACUGCUGCAACAAAGAAAGCUACUACCCCGCAUCCAUCUGGUGUUACCCCAAGUCAAGGGAAAUUCCAUGUGGAAGCUCCUCAUUUACCAGUAUAUGGACCUCCCUCAAGACGUCAUCAUCAACAUCCUCUGGCUAUUCCUCCUCAAAAUCACCCAAGCCAGGUUCAGAACAAAAAUCAGAAUCAGAACAAGAGGAACAAGGAUCACAAUGACUCGAUUCCGGUACCAUAUAGCAAGCUCUACCCGCAACUGAUCCAAAAUGCUUUGGUGACCCCUCGAGCUCUCACACCUGUGUCACCAUACCUGCCAUGGUACAAUCCAAAUGCAACAUGUGAAUUCCAUAAAGGGGCAUUGGGACAUGACCUAGAUUCUUGCUUAGUGCUAAAAGCCUUGGUACGAGGACUGAUUAACAAAAAGAGCUUAGUUUUUGAAGAAGAUCACCCGAAGAUCAAGUGCGAAUACCAUACUGGAACAAUGGGGCACUCCAUCGAGGAAUGCAAGAGUUUUAAGCUCAAGCUGCAAGGAUUGAUUGACAUAAGGUCACCAACACUCAAGGAGGAGGGCUCAGUUACAUAUACCUUGAUUUCUGGGCCAGGUAAUGAGAAAGGGAAAGGACCCUUGAAACCCCUCAAGGUUUUGUACCACAAGGAAGAUGUCAGGGAUGUGGCUAGUGAGCUAUCAUUGUUUCCUGGUAAGAGCAUUGAGAUACCGCCUUGGAUUUCCAAUGUCACGACCCAUACCAAUGAAAGAAAAGGAGAAGUGAGUAGUGGAUCCAAGAGGGUUGCGUUCAACGAUGAGAUUGAAGGAAAAGAAUUUGAAGAUCAUCAUGCCAAUGUCAAAAAGCUUGUUGAUCCCAACCUUCAAGUUUGAAGAAGUCAUUCCCCAAAGCUGGCAAUCAUUUGGCUGUUUCAGCAUUUCUUUUGUAGUUUCCUUGCAUGUUGACUGUUAAUUGCUUUUAAGCAUUGUUGUUUUCUUUGAAUUGGUAAGAUUAAUGAAAUGUUUAUGCAUCUUUUGAAUUAAUCCAUUCGUAUUCACUCGUUUUUCAUUUAUGUUAAAAAACAAAAACAAAAAUACUGCUCUCAUUCAUUUUUGUUUAUCAAACCGUUGUGUUAACAAAGAUUGGAAGGAGGAUGAUGAAAAUGAAACACCUGAAAUUGUUGUGGUAUGCUUUUGAGUAAAACCUUGUCGAUGAUGUAAGGCAUUGUUUCAAAUCCCCAAACACUGAAGAGAUAAGGAGUUAAUCCCUAGUCAACCACUUUGAGCCUAGAAGUUGGUGUUUAUUUCGGAUCUAAAACCCUUAAUCUUAACCUGGGGCAGGGUAGUUGUGUUCAGAUAGUUUGAUCGUGCAUUCGAUCUUUCAAAAAAAACCGUCCAUAUGUACACCCUCCAAUUAGGUUCAACCACAUGUUAUCCUUCGCGCACAUGUUGAAGUGUCGAAGAAGUUAAGAAAAGCUAAAAUUAGUGUUGGUUGAUCCUUAUCCACCAAUAAUGUGGCAGUCAAUACCUUUAAAGAAUAAAAAAAAAAAGCCCGCUAAGUCAAAAACCACAAAAUGACUUAGGCAAAAGUUAGGGCAUCCCGAUGGACCAAAAGCUUCAAAGAAGCGGUCCAGGCAAAAUUAGGGAUAAAGAAAAUCAAUCAAAAGAGGUCACCAAAAUCCUCAACAAAAACAAAAAAAGGUGACUGCCAUUUCAAGGAAAAUUCGUCUUGAACCCUCAUCACACCUUCGAACCCUCUUGGAAGUCGAAUGCGUGUAUUGAAUUAACUGAACAUAGGAACUGGAGAUCAUCAAGAAGAAGGGGUGGGUAAAAAUAAAUUUUGAGCCUUAUAUCCUUUUGUUUCAAAAAAACCUGAACCAGACCACGUUACAACCCUUAAAAGACCUAAUUGAGGCAGGGUUUAUUUUGAAAGCAUACUAUAACAAGGUUGUGUUAACUUGACUCCAAACGAUUUUUGUUAAUCAUUUGAUGGCACCAACUUGCAUACUGUGAAUGACUUGAUCACCAUUGUGUUCUUAUCAACGACUCGUUCACUGUAUUUCACCCAUUCAUAUCAAUAAACUUUGAGUUCAAAUUUUUGCAUAAGCAUUGCAUUAAGAUUACCAUUUUUGAAUGAACAAUCUUAUUUGCGAGUCAACACUUAGCAUCAAAGAAAUUCAAUACACAGUUGAGGAACUUGAUGGAGUGAAAGAAGUCUAGUCAGGGGCAAAUCACUUUGAGCAUCAGUUAAUUCGAGCUAAUCACCCUAAGGGUCAUCUAGCCAAGAGUAAUCUGCUUCAAGAAUCAGACCGGGGCAAGCCACCUCAGAGCUCAGUAAGUCCAAUCACUCCAAGGUUCAGUUAGCCAAGAGUAAUUUGCUUCAAGACUUAGACUGGGGCAAGCCACCUCAGAGCUCAAUGAGUCCAACUAUCCAAAAGACAGUCAACCAAGAGUCUGCCAUUCCAGCAUUUGGUUAGUCAAGUUCGGAUCGUUGCAAGUCUCAAACACUUGGGGCAAGCCAUCUCGAGGUAAUCUCAUGGAAAGUUGUUUCCAAACCCACUUUCAAGGUGAACAUUUCCAAAGACCCAACAGACUGGGGCAAGAUUAGCCACAGAGGGGCAUAACCUAUUUCUUCGUGCUUUCAAACUGUCCAAACAAAUUCUGCCAUACGUCAACAACUAUUGAGUUUAAGACGAGUGCCCGAAAAUUAUGCUAGCACGAUUCAUUAAUCCACCAAAAGGAUCCAUUGGCUAAGUUGUGGCUAUCAAACUGGAUAGAAUCCUCCUUUGACAACGUCUAUCAUAAAAUAUUUGGUUGAGUUCUCGGUGUUGAGGAAUCAUGAGCUUCCAUAAAAAGCCUUUACAAACUCCCAGUCUGCCCAAUGUCAGCAUUCUCAUAAUCAUGAUCAUUCAUAUAUCAUGCAUCUAUCAUAAAAUAUUUGGUUGAGUUCUCGGUGUUGAGGAAUCAUGAGCUUCCAUAAAAAGCCUUUACAAACUCCCAGUCUGCCCAAUGUCAGCAUUCUCAUAAUCAUGAUCAUUCAUAUAUCAUGCAUAAAAGCAAGUUCAAAUCAUGCAUAGCCGAAAUGUACUUCGUGCUCAUUUUGCAUUGACUCGGGUCUUGUUGUCGAUCCUAUUAUCCUUUGACCUUUGAUUCCAGUUUGUAUUUGGUGCCCUUAAACCCACAUCCGGUUUUCGCAGUCAUUCUCAAAUCCAAUUUUUGUUCAAUACCACUCAGGUCAUACAUGAACCUGUUGUUGAGCUUUAUUCCGGUGUCAGGUCAUACAUGAACCUGCUCUGAAGAUUUUUUUUCCCUGUUGUUCAAUACUAUUCAGGUCAUGUAUGAACCUGUUGUUGAGCUUUAUUCCGGUGUCAGGUCAUACUUGAACCUGUUCUGAAGAUUCUUUGUUCAAUACUACUCAGGUCAUACUUGAACCUGCUCUGAAGAUUCUUUCCCAGUCGUUCAAUACUAUUCAGGUCAUACAUGAACCUGUUGUUGAGCUUUAUUCCGGUGUCAGGUCAUACUUGAACCUGCUCUGAAGAUUCUUUCCCAGUCGUUCAAUACUAUUCAGGUCAUGUAUGAACCUGUUGUUGAACCUUUAUUCCGGUAUCAGGUCAUACUUGAACCUGGUCUGAAGAUUUUUUCUCUGUUUGUUCAAUACUAUUCAGGUCAUGUAUGAACCUGUUGUUGAACCUUUAUUCCGGUGUCAGGUCAUACUUGAACCUGUUCUGAAGAUUUUUUCUCUGUUUGUUCAAUAAUUGAACCUUUAUUCCGGUGUCAGGUCAUACUUGAACCUGUUCUGAAGAUUUUUUCUCUGUUUGUUCAAUACUAUUCAGGUCAUGUAUGAACCUGUUGUUGAACCCUUAUUCCGGUAUCAGGUCAUACAUGAACCUGUUCUGAAGAUUUUUUCCUAUGUUGUUCAAUACUAUUCAGGUCAUGUAUGAACCUGUUGUUGAGCUUCAUUCCGGUGUCAGGUCAUACUUGAACCUGCUCUGAAGAUUUUUUCUCUGUUUGUUCAAUACUAUUCAGGUCAUGUAUGAACCUGUUGUUGAGCCUUAUUCCGGUGUCAGGUCAUACUUGAACCUGUUCUGAAGAUUCUUUCUCUAUUUGUUCAAUACUAUUCAGGUCAUGUAUGAACCUGUUGUUGAGCUUUAUUCCGGUGUCAGGUCAUACAUGAACCUGCUCUGAAGAUUUUUUCCAAUUUUUGUUCAAUACUAUUCAGGUCAUGUAUGAACCUGUUGUUGAGCUUUAUUCCGGUGUCAGGUCAUACUUGAACCUGCUCUGAAGAUUUUCCCCUAUGUUUGUUCAAAACUAUUCAGGUCAUGUAUGAACCUGUUGUUGAGCUUUAUUGCGGUGUCAGGUCAUACAUGAACCUGUACUGAAGAUUUUUUUCUCUCUGUUUGUUCAAUACUAUUCAGGUCAUGUAUGAACCUGUUGUUGAGCUUUAUUCCGGUGUCAGGUCAUACAUGAACCUGUUCUGAAGAGUUUUUCCCCAUGAUUAUUCCCCAGCGUUGUCAGGUCAUAUAUGAACCUGUUGCAGCAUCUUUUCCUUUAUUCGGGUUUAGUAAGUCAUAUGCGAACUUACUACCGAAAUCCCUUGUAUUCUAAGCGUCGUUUAUCAAAUUUCACUUUGAGUACUCUCCAGUGUGUGUCUGAUUCUCCAGCAGAUUUGUCUUCCCCAGCGAGUUUUUUUUUUUUACCAUUUGUCUGUCUCCCUGUGGACCACCAGCAUCCCCACGGAUUGGUCUGUCUAGUAGCAUCUCCUGUCAAGGGUCCAUCAUAUCCCUAGCAGAUAAAAAUUAAAAAAAGAGAAUCAUGCAUCCACGCAUAUCAUGUCAUGCAUAUCAUAUCAUAUCACAUCAUGUCGUAGGGAUUCAGGAUCAAAUUCCGGGUCUUCUUAGUAUUUAACCAUCUCCCACUAUGAUCAUAUGAAGGUUGUCCUGCUUCAUAUGAUCUAGUUGAAGAUACUUAAAUAGGGGCAACUGUCAUACCCCGAUUUUGACCCUGAAAUUUUCCCAUUUUUUUUUCAUUUUUUAUUUGGCACUUGGCCUAAAGUUCAUUUGCAUACAUUCAUUCCCAAAUCCAUAUUUUGUGAUAAACAUUGGUUAUUAUUUAGCUUUUUGAUCAUGGUGCUUUGUGAUUACAAAAUGGAUUUUAGUUAUUUGAUUUUAGUUUUCAAUUUUAAUUUAAUUUCAAAGUAAAUCUAAUUCCAAAUUUCAAGUUAAUCUUAAUUGUGUUUUUACUAAUGAUUCAAACUCUAAUUGAUUUUAAUUUCCAAAUAAAUGUUAGAGUUGAUAUCAAAGUAAUUUUAACGAAUUAUAGAUUAAUUUGAUUUUAAUUGGUUUUAUUUGGUUUUUUUGAUUUUAACUUGACAUUUUGAUUAGUCUCAGAUUAUUUCUAAAAUCCAUAUCCAUUUUUUAUAACCAAGCAUGAUCCAAUAAACAUGUCCAUAUGCAUUGCAUUACAUGAAAUUUGGCAUUGUGUGAAUCAUUUUACAUAAGCUAAAUACUAUUACAACUUAUUAUAUCCUAAUGACUAAUACAUAUUACAAUAAUUGGUUGGAAUUAAAAGGAAAUAUGGAGGAAAAAUUCCACAACAAAAAAAAAACUCUUCAACCUUUUCCCUCACCGUCUCCCUCCACCAUCAUCAUGCACAAGACUCACCCGUCACUCCUUGAACCAAUCUUCAACAGUCCAGAAAUAUGUAACAUCAGCCAAAACAAUCCAACACAACAGCUGAUUCAUUUUCUUCCGACAAACUUCCUGCACAAUAUUAACCAUAACAAUAUCAGCAGCGAGCAGCAAAGACAACAGAGGAGACAUUCAAACACCGACGGCAACCGCAGAAACAGCCGCAGUCAUCUCAACAUGAUAUUAUAAAUAACGGUGUCAUUGCUUCUAACCAGAUCUCAAAUCAAUUUGUUCAGCUUUCGGUUGAUACACAAGAACCCUGCAACAAAGCCAUAGUGAAAUCACAGCAGCAUCAACCAAAAUCAUGACCAAACAGGCUUUAAAAUUAUUUUAUCAGAUGGCUAAUGAUUGUGAUACUAAGCCUAACAAUGUAACUUUUAUCUCAAUUCUAUCUUCUUGAAGUCAUUCAGGUUUAAUUAAAGAAGGGAUACAAAUGUUUGAUAUCAUGAUUAGCGAGUAUCAAUUGGUACCAAACUCAGAGCAUUAUGCGAUAACGGUUGAUCUUCUUGGUCGAAUGGGAGAGUUGAAUACGGCUUCGGACGUAAUUAACGACAUGCCAAUGCAAGUUGGGCCUGAUAUAUGGGGAGCCUCACUCGACGCCUGUCGCCGACAUCAAAAUAUGAAGAUGUAAUCUGCCUUAACCUCUUCUUUAAGGAGUCUUGAGAAAUUCAAACUCAAACCAUAAAAAAGGAGAAUAAGAGGAUCAACAAGCAGAAGAAGCAAAUUAAAAAAAUUUGAAUGGUUUUGAAGGCUGGGUAGAUCCCAAAAUCGUUUCUAGUAGUACUAGAAAAAAAUCCAAAAAGAAAAUAUCACAGUGUAUUCCGUAAAAAAAGGAAAAGCCACAAAUGACUCAGAGGAGGAUUACCUUUCGUUUAAGUGAUGGGUCGUUUGAAUCAGCUUUGAAGGACCUUUAGUUUUCGCAAUAAAAAGUCUUCGAAGCUUGCACUGCCGGCAAUCUCUUGUGGACAACCGGUGAAGCAUUGAGAAUUGAGAAAGAAUAACUUGCUGCCGUUGUUAAUUUUGCUGUCAAAUGCAAGACAUAAUAACAGUACGACAAUUUCUCAGAAGCCUACAAUUGUUAUAAAGGAAUUGCAAAUUAUUAUGAAGCUUACAAUUCGAAUGUGCAUCGGGGCAUACUUUUCUGGAGAUCAUGCUUACCGUUGUUGAACAUUACAGUGCAAUUGUUCCAUGGCAAUUAGUAGCUCAGAAGGUUGAUGGCUCUUUGGUUGACGAAAGACCCUGGUGUUCAUCCUGAAACUUACAACAAAAGAUGAUAAUUACAAACAUGUGGCCCAACAAAAUCAACCAAACAGUUCCAGACUCGCGACAAAAAGUAUGUUUUCGGGAUGUGUCGGAAUGACUUGUUGGUUGGUUCUCAAUUUUCUCUAGAAAGGAGGCAUGGAUUUUGCGGGAUUGUUAUCUGCUUGUUGUUAAUUUAAGAGUGCUAGCAAUGUCUCGUGCAUUUGGCAACCGUAUGCUGAAGCCAUUUGUUGUAGCAGAACCUGAGAUCCAGGAGCAGAAAAUAGAGAAGAAACCGGGUGAGAGCAAUAUCCUGCCAAAACAACAACAAACAAUGUCAAAUUGUUACAAAAUUAAGGAAACCUCAGUGGAAGAAAGCAAUUUCAAUAUUUUCAAAGAGAACAAUUUCAAGGCAAAAAAUGUGAUCCUUGGAGACAGAGUCCCAUUUAUUAUGUUUAUUACUAUAAUAAUCAUAAACCUCAGAAGUUGCUGUGUCGCAUACCAAAUGGCACCAGUUUGGUCCUCAUGCUCAAACCGUUUUGUUGUCGCAGCAACCAAACUCCAAUCUCACAUUUGUUUCACUGCCGCCAUUGCCAUUCAUCACUAUAGCACAUCUCCUCACCAAAUUACCCAACCAUAACCUGCAAAAAAUUAAACCAAAUCACAUUGGUCACUAUCAAAACCGCACAUUCAACAAGUCAGAGUUCAAACACAUCAAAUCCAUUCUCAUAAACCUGCAACAUCAUCCACAAUGAGUACAACAAACAAUUUCUUCGUAAUAAAGUGCAUAAUGCCGGAGGUUACACUUAGCUCCAAAACCGAGCAGAAGCAAGGUCUGGCCGAAGACGCUUAUAAAAUGCAUAACCGACAUUGUAAGGGUUUUGUUACCGAACAAUGUCGCAAACAGUGAAUCUCGUCGUCACCAACAACGUUGGUGGUGGAAUGCCAGAAGGCAAGUGUUUCCCGUGUUCACGUGUUUAUGGAAGAACAACUGCUGUGUAUUCAUGCCCUAUUAUAGGUCGUCAUAGAAUUUGUUCCCAUGUCAAAAUCGGAGGACUAAAGUCUGGUUCUUUGGCUGCAUCUAUUGUUUGUGAAGCAAGGAGGGACCCGUAUAUCUCGAGACAAAACAACAGGAACGAGCCAUCCAGAGGAAGAAACAGGAACAUUUGCAGAUAUAAGAUCCUCAAAAACAUGCUUUGAAUGACUGUCAAUCUGUGUAACAGCUGAUACCUCAAUAGCCGGAAGAAUAUCAAGUAUAUGCUCGAAAAAUUUUUCUGGCCAGACUUUAAUAACAGCAGAAAGCAGAGAAAAUAUAUGGUUGCGGAAGCUGUAAUGGUUCAUUCACCUACGACAACAGUUAUUGCAAAAUCCAAUCUGGUCGAUUAUUCUGUUGAUAUAAGUGGGUUUGAGACGGGUUGCACUCAUGACUCUAGAUUACAUUCCAAAGGACUUGAUAAUAGAUGGACUGGGAUGCCUUUUACAAACUUGUGCUCAGUCAACGAAACUUCAGCCUUCAAUACACAGAAGCUUGAUUACAACCUUGUCUACGUUUUAUCAUUCCGAGAGUUGCACCAAUGGGCUAUCCAAUUGAGCCAUAUUCCGUUUAGAACUCGUACCUGUCACCAAAAUUUUAUCAGCAGCUACAUUGAAACCAGAGAAGCUUUUGCUCCAAAUUUCACUGCAGUAACACAAAUUAAUUAGUCAAAGCUGCAGAAUUUCGAAAAAUUCCCAAAUUGGAAUAGAGACAAAACUCAAAGAGAAAGUUUGAGCUCAGAUUACCUUUUCCAAAUUGUAGCAUCAAACAGGAUAAUUCGAAUUCUGAGCCCGGAAAGGAGUUCGCAGGGAUGCUUCUUUCACCAAAGACCAAACGAAACCCUAAACAUAAAUAGGGAAAGCGAAUCAGUGAGAAAGGGGACGAAAAACUUGGAGGCGGAAAACUCCACAAGAGAACCCUAAUCCCCAAAUAAGGAACCGAUUGGAAGGAGUGAAGGAGGGAGAUUCGUUACCUGAGUUGUCGUCGCCGUCGAAGGUCCGAAGGUGAGCUCUUUGUUUCUGUUUCAGCCGUGGUUUUUCGUGUGUGAGAGAGACUUCGUUGAGGGCGACUGAGAGGAACGUGAGGUCGCGUGAGAGAGAGAUUUAGUUGAGAGAUUGAAAGAAACGUGAGGUGAGGAGCGUUUGAGGGAUGGAGAGAGUGAAGGUGGGGAACGACGACUGAGGUUGAGAGUGUGAGAGAGAAGUGAGAUUGGAAAGAACGAGACGACGGUCUGUUUUUGUUUCCAUUUCUUUCUUUUUAUAUUUAUUUUAAACAAAGAUAAGCAAAACCAUAAAAAAAAUUUAAUAUGUUUAGUAUUUCUUUUAGUAUUCCAAUUCUAAUCUCUAAAACCCAACAGCCAGGCGGCUGGGUUUUUGGGUGUAAUCCAUCAGUUUUUGUAUUUAUUAUUAUUUUGGUUUUUAUUUUCUUAAUUUUUUUUUGUUCCAAUCUUUUCUGAUUUAUAAGCCCAUUUGUCAUUGUAAAUAAUAACCAGUCAUGAAUGGCUAGUGGAGAAAGGGUAGUUUCAUAGUCUUGAGUGGGUGGGUUCAAUACUCAUACGUAGAUUUUUUUAGUAUUUUAUUUCUUUAGCAUUUAUUUUCUUUUAGCUUUUAUUUUAUGUUAUGUUUUUAUUAUACUCAUGUUGAUCUGCUUUCUUUUAACUUCUCAUUCAUUCAAAACCAUUUUAAAAUUAUAAAAUCAUAUUUUUCUCGAUUCAAUAUCGAGCCCAUUUCCACACCCUUGUAAGUCGAUUGCUUUUUAAGCAUCGCCAUCAACCUCACAUAGCUUACUUGGCUUUCUUAAAUGAGCCGUUUCUUGCACUUACACUCAUAUUUCGCAUCAUUUGUUGUUUGGGCCUGAUCUAAUUACUUUAUGAUUUUGAAUCCCCAUUUGACAAAAUGAACCCCACUCCCCAAUGUGUAUAAUAAUUCUGUAUUUAUUUUAUUCCCUAUUUGUUUUAGAUACUAACCCAAGAAUAAAUCCACCAUUUCUAAAAAAUACAAAAGAGUGUGACUCGAUCCAACGUCGAGUAUUUUCUCAAUAAACAAAUCAACUCAUUUCUCCCUCCUAUUCCAUUCCAGUUCUUCCAAACUUCAUCAACGCUUGGUUUAACGUCAAGCCAUUUUUCCUGAUAAAAACUCAAAAUAUUAAUCCUUAUCUAAACCUUUCAAUAAGAUGGAAAUGGAACGUGGUGUAUACCACGCACUCCUGAGACUAGAUUCGAGAUGUAUACCUCGCCAACCUAGCUCUCGCCAUCAUCCAAAUUUAUCCACUUUGCUUAUCGAAACUCAUCAAUCUUUCUCAAACGUCAUCAAUACUUGAUCUAGGUCAAGUCAUUUUCACAACAAAAACUCAAAAUACCUAAUUCCUAUUUAACACUUUUUCAAUAAAGGUGAAAUGGAACAUGGUGUAUACCAUGCACUCUGAGACUAGGAUUCGAGAUGUAUAUCCGCCAAUCUUAGCUCUCGCCAUCGCUAAAAUUGUCAAUACAGUUUCUUCAAACCCUUUCUCAAUUAAAUUCCAAAUACUUAAUUCCUAUCUUAACCUUUCUCAAUAAAGAUGGAAAUGGAACAUGGUGUAUACCAUGCACUCCUGAGACUAGGAUUCGAGAUGUAUAUCUCGCCAAUCUUAGCUCUCGCCAUCGUCUAAAAUUGUCAAUGCGAUUUCUUCAAACCUUCUCAAUUAAAUUCCAAAAUACUUAAUUCCUAUCUUAACCUUUCUCAAUAAGAUGGAAAUGGAACAUGGUGUAUACCAUGCACUCCUGAGGCUGGAUUCGAGAUGUAUAUCUCGCUCAUCCAAGUUCUCGCCAUCACUCAAAACGCAUCCAACCAAUCAAAUUCUUUUCUCGCCGCCGUGCGUUAAUCAAAAACUUUUUCAUAAAUGAAAGAUUAUAUGCUUAAGAGAUACAAAACAAUGUUUCGGCCACGAUUGUUGAGUAGAGAUAAAUGACGCUUUUCCGAAUGUAGAUUUAUAAAUCCGUUCGUGUGUGGAUGCGUUCACUCCUCAUCAUCUGUUUUGGGUAAAAUAAUGUUUUCUUCGAUUAAUACAGUAUGACUUUCGCUAAAAUCGACCAACAAACAAACAUUUUCUACCCAGAACUACGUAAGCCUUGAUUUCUCUUUUGAGAUACGUAUGAGCAGGAUUUAUAAAUCUUGUCAGGCCCACUAAUAAAAAACUUAGGUUUAGUCUUUCGUCAAAAAUCCAAAAAAACAUCUCUUCUCUCUUCUAUUCUUAUUCUUUCCAUCAUUAUAACUUGAGAAGACUAACAUAAGCUAACAUUCAAAACAAAACUAACUAAACGGUUCCCGUUGAAUACAACGGACGUGAGGGGUGUUAAUACCUUCCCCUUGCGUAACCGACUCCCGAACCCUGAUAUUGGUUGCGACGACCAUAUCUUAUCCUUUUCUUUUAGGGGUUUUAUCGAUAUUUUCCCUUUCCUUUUUAGGAAUAAAUAAAGUUCGGUGGCGACUCUGUUCAGUCCAUCAAUGCGAGCGUGCAAUCGCGCUUCGCUUAAAGUCGUAUCCCCAUUUUUUCGAGGUGCGACGGGUGCCAAGUGAGAAGAAGGAUGAUAGAUCGUCAUUUCGAUAAGCCGCCCGUGACUUAUGCCUCCCUGUUUAAAAGGUUGAAGGAUCUUGGGUUGGUGCAGCCAAGACCAUUGGUUCUAGGGAAAUCGGAGCAGAGGGUUGCAAGUUAUGAUGAGAAUGUCAGGUGCGAGUUCCAUGCUGGUGCACCCGGACAUCACAUUGAGGGGUGUAAAGCUUUUAAGCAUGUCGUUCAGGAUUUGGUGGAUUCUAAAGCCAUCAAUUUUGCACCGAUGCCAGAUGUUAAUGCUAACCCCAUGCCGAUGCAUGGCCCUAUGGGGGUGAAUGUGAUGUUAGGGGAUAAGAGAAAGACAGAGGUGACGGAUGUGAACCAGUUGAGGACUCCAAUGUCUGUGGUCAAGAGACAUCUGAUGAAGAGUGGAGUUUUCCCUGGUUGUGAUAAUCGUUGUGCUGCCUGCACCGUCACUACAAACGGGUGUGUAAUGAUGAGGGAAACGGUUCAGAGAAUGAUGGAGGUGGAAAUGGAUGGUGAAAAAUUUGAAACACCAUGUCGGGCAGUUGAAACCGUCAAGGUGGAGAAUGCCAUUAUUGCUGAGAAAGAGAAAAAGUCGUCCAUUUCUUCUUACAAACAGGCCGUGGAAGUGGUGAGAAAUGGAGGGAUCCCAGGCUGGGGAAAGAUCAUAGACAUUAUGGUGAAGGCGGAUAUGUUUGGGGUUGGCUAUCAUCCGGAUCAAGAGUCGUCUAGACAAAACAGAGGACGUCGUCCGUCAUUCACAUUCGUCAGUGCUGGAAUGCUGGAUCCAGGUCACGCCUGUACAGUGGGUGAAGAGAUUGACAGUGACCGCGAGCUUGACUCGUGGAUAAAAUCGUGCGUACCAGGGAACUGGAAGGCCUCAAAGAUCAUCACUGUCACUCAUCAUGAAGAGUAAUAUUUUCUGUUUUCAAUUCUGUUUGCAUGAAAGCCAUACGUUUUGCCCGAAACGUAAUGGUCCAUUGUAAGGGUCAUCUCAUAUGUUUCAUUUUGCAACAUUUUGCAUCAUUAAUAAACGGAUGUUUUUUGUAGUUAAAAGCGGUGUUCCCUGUUUCUCAUUUAUUUUUACAGUUUAAAAACAAAUAAAAAUGGCAAUGUUUGUUUUCAUUUUUCCUCUUUUUGAUUUGUCUCGUUCCGACUUCGAAAAAAAAAUUCUCCUGAUCUCGUUGAUAACAAUUCGGUUACACCUUUGUAUGACUUCGACAAUCCGAUCUAUCAUGCCGAAGAAGAAGGCGAAGAAGAUUGUGAUCUGCUGGAAUUAGCCAGGUCAUUGAAACAAGAGGAGAAGGUGAUUCAGUCGCACGAGGAGUGAUUCGAGAUUGUUAUUCCAGGCACCGCCGAGGUCAGAAAGGAAAUGAAAAUUAAGGCCGUUUCAGAGGCGAGUCGAGAGCAGAAUGAUAGCCCUGUUGAAAGAGCAUGUGGAUACCUUCGCCUGGUCGUGUCAGGAUACACCAGGGUCGGAUACCGAUGUCGUUGUGCACAAGCUACCAUGGAGAGAAGACUGUCCUCUAGAGAAGCAGAACGCCGGUGCCACGUAUCAGAGUGACUUUGUUUCAUGAUAUGAUUCAUCAUGGAAUCAAAUGCUAUGUUGAUGACAUGACAGCAAAGUCUCGAACAGAAUAAGGGGCAUCUGGUGGAUCUGGCCAAGUUGUUGGACCGAUUGAGACAAUUCAAACCGAGGUUGAAUUCAAAUAAGUGCACUUUCAGAGUGCGGUCCGGUAAGUUGCUGGGGCUUAUUGUGAACAGAAAAAGGAAUCGAGGUCGAUCUUGCUAAAAAAAUAAAAAAUAAAAAGUAAUACAAGAAAUGCCUGAACCGAAAACAGAAAAAGAGGUUCGUGGUCUCUUAGGUAGAUCGAACUGCAUUUCACGGUGCAUAUCUCACCUAACAGCCACGUGGGAACCCAUUCAAGAAAAAAGAUCAAACGGUCAGGUGGAAUAAUGAUUGCCAAGGGGCAUUGAGAAAUAAAAGAAUAGUUGCAGGAGCCUCCGAUUCUGUUGCCUCCCUAUGGAAAGAGACUGUUAAUCUGUACUUGACGGUCCUCGAGGGGUCUAUGAGGUGCGUAUUGUGUCAGCAUGACGAGUCUUAUCGAAAAGAGCAUGCAAUUUACCUUAGCAAAAAGUUUACCGACUGUGAAACAAUACAUUCACUGCUCGAGAAAACUUGAUGUACUUUGGCAUAGGCUGCUCGCCGACUGAGACAGUGUAUGCUGGUUCAUACCAUUUUGUGGAUGUUCCGAGAUGGAUCGAUCAAGUAGGUUUUGAGAGCCAGCAUUGACGCGACGGUUGCGAGAGGGCAAUAUUUUGAUUGAAUAGAUAUUCAGUAUACCUCUCAGAAAGCAAUCGAGGAAGAGUGAUUGUCGGAUACCUCGCCCAGUAACCUAUUGAGGAUUAUCAACCAAUGAGUUUGAAUUCCCUGAUGAGGACAUCAUGUUUCUCAAUCGAAAGAUGUGAGAACCAAUCCGCGGAGAGGGCCUGACCUGAAUCCGAAUGGAUUCUGAUGUUUGAUGGGCCGUUAGGUGAAUGGUAGAGCGGUGUUGGUGCUGUUUUGGUUACGCCGAAAGGAUCCCAUAUUCUUUUGCUGCUCCGGCUAACAUUUGAGUAACAACACGUGGCUGAAUACGAGCUUGUAUCCUGGGAUUGAGAGGCGAUUGAUUUGAGGAUCAAGAACCUUGUUAUAUAUGGAGAUUCAGCUUUGGUUGUGAAUCAAGUUAACGGAAAAUGGUAUACGCAUCAGUCUCAUUUAAUUCCAUACCGGGAUUAUACGAGGAGAUUGUUGACGUUUUUCACCAAGGUUAAGAUGCAUCAUGUGCCUAGAGAAGAGAAUCUGUUGGCAGAUGCUUUGGCUACUCUGGCUGCCUUGAUAAAGGUGCAGUGGUGGAAUCAGUUCCCCAGUGUUGAGGUGGGGCGUCUGGAUAGACCGGCUUAUGUGUUUGCUGUUGAUACAACGCCUGAUGACGAGAAGCCGUGGUAUUACGAUAUCAAGCGCUAUCUGGAGACCCAAGAGUAUCCUGAGGGAGCAUCCAAGAAGGACCGAAAGACUCUGCGGAGGUUGGCCAUGGUGUUCUACCUGAAUAAGGAUGGGGUGUUGUACAAGAGGAAUUUCGAUUGGGUCUUGCUCAGAUGUGUUGAUGACAAAGAAGCAAGCCAAUUGAUGAAAGAGGUUCAUGAGGGGUCGUUCGGUACCCAUGCCAGUGGGAAUGCGAUGGUAAAGAAGCUGCUGAGAGCAGGUUAUUACUGGAUGACAAUGGAGGCCCAAUAUUUCAAUUUCGUGCGAAAGUGUCAUAAAUGCCAGAUUUAUGCUGACAAGGUGCACGUGCCUCCAAAUCCGUUGAGUUUGAUAUCGUCUCCAUGGUCGUUCGCUAUGUGGGGCAUCGAUAUGAUUGGGAAGAUUGAGCCUACGGCUUCGAAUGGGCAUCGGUUCAUAUUGGUGGCUAUUGAUUACUUCACCAAAUGGGUGGAAGCAACCUCUUAUACGAACGUGACGAAGCAAGUCGUUGCCAGAUUUCUCAAGAGAGACAUCAUUUGUAGAUAUGGGGUUCCCGAAAGAAUCAUUACUGAUAAUGGUUCUAAUUUGAACAACAAGAUGAUGGCAGAGCUGUGCCGGGAAUUCAAGAUCGAACAUCACAAUUCUUGUCCCUAUCGUCCGAAGAUGAAUGGGGCGGUUGAGGCAGCCAAUAAGAAUAUUAAGAAGAUUGUGCAGAAGAUGGUUGUGACCUAUAAGGACUGGCAUGAGAUGUUGCCGUUUGCAUUGCAUGGGUAUCGAAAAGAAGAUGGUUGUGACCUAUAAGGACUGGCAUGAGAUGUUGCCGUUUGCAUUGCAUGGGUAUCGAACUUCGGUGCGUACAUCUACUGGGGCAACGCCUUUCUCGUUGGUGUAUGGAAUGGAAGCCGUGUUACCGGCUGAGGUUCAAAUUCCCUCUUUGAGAGUCCUGAUGGAUGUGAAAUUGCAAGAGGUGGAAUGGGUAAGAACCCGGUACGAAGAGUUAAGCCUGAUUGAGGAAAAGAGGCUGGCAGCCAUCUGUCAUGGGCAGUUGUACCAGCAGCGGAUGAAGCGUGCUUUUGAUCGAAAGGUGCGACCUCGUGUGUAUCACGUAGGUGAUAUGGUGCUGAAAAGGAUCCUUCCUCCUCAAAACGAUCGUAGGGGCAAAUGGACACCCAAUUAUGAAGGUUCGUUCGUGGUCAAGAAGGUUUUCUCUGACAGAGCCUUGUUGUUGACGACCAUGGAUGGUGAGGAUUUUCCAUCCCAUGUGAAUGCGGACGCAGUUAAAAAAUACUUCGUAUAAGAGACCCGCUGGACGGAAAGAGUAAAAUAGUCCAGGCAAAAAUGGGCAUCCCGGCGAACCGAAAAAAAAAUGAAUGAAAAAGGUUCGGGCAAAAAUUAGGGAUAAAAAGAAAAAACUGUACACCCGGCAAGUCGAAAACCUGAAAAGGCGACUUGGGCAAAAAAGGGUAUCCCGGUGGACUGAAAACCCGAAAGGGCGGUCCGAAAAAGAGGAUUGAACGACAACUACGUCUGGCAUGACUUUGCGCUUGGAUAUUGACAUGGAUAGUCCCGUAGGGAUCAGUCGGAAGCGUUUCAGAAGGCAGAAAGCACGGAGAGUCUGAGGACAUAUGGGGUGUAACCGAGUUGGAACUCGAUGAGAUCGCGGUUUCACAUUGCCAUUAGGAUAGAUUUUCCUUUUGUGCGCAAUUACCUCUUUUCAAGAAUUGCUUCCUUGUAUUGCUCAGUUUGAGCCACACUUUUUCCAGUCAAUAAAAUGCAUAUUCAGUCAAAUAAUUUUGUUUUUGUUUUCAUUGCCGCUUUGAUUGCAAAAACAUCCAAUUGUUGUGAUAAAGAAUUUUUGCAUUUUAAGACAUACAGGUCCCUUCCAAUGCAUGUUUAUAAGAUUGAAAAUUUGAAAUCUUAUUCGGAAGGUUGAGUGACCCAAGUGUUGAAAUCUUGACACGCCUGGGGGCACGUUUUUGUCUAACGAUCUCUUUUGCAGGAGCUGUUAGAUAUUUUCACUCACUUGCAGGUUGUGAUGUGGAAGCUUUGGAUAAAGGAUCCCCGUGGAGUCCACUCAGGGAUGAAUGAAGGGAGGAAUGGUGAAGAGACGGCGAGAGACGUAUGACGAUCCUGGAUAUUAAUUAAGAAGAUUCUUCAAAGUCUGAAGAUUGGAAAGUCUGUAUGAAUCCCAGGAGUUCGGUCGUCGUGGAGUACGGAGACGUCGAGAAUACAAGAUGAUGAAUCAGAAAAGUUCAGACGAGUCUGGGAGUUCUCAAAAGUGGAAAGCUGACCCUAGAGUUGGAUGUUGAAUACCGAGGUUCGACGAGUCGACGGGUGUUCUGCGCCAGACUUUCCUGGUUUCCCAAAGCAGAGUUGGGAUUGUUACCUCCUCAGCAGAUUCGAGGUUUGUGUCUUCCCCUAGCAGGGUCGGGAUGGUUAUACCCCCAACGGGUUUGAGAUCGGUGUUUCCUCAGCAGCCAGGCCUGAAGGUUGCUAUUUCCCAGUGGAGGUAUCUGUUGGUAGGGGUUUCUCCAAGCAGAGUCGAGCUUGCAAAUUCCCCAGCAAGUCAGAGAUUGUCGGUUUCCCCACAGAGUGAGCUGGUUGUUUUUCCCCAGCGAUGUCCCCAAGAGGAUCGGGUGCAAAGGAGGUUAUUCCUGGUAAGGGUGGCCUAUUUCUCAGCAGCAGUGUUAUUCCCCAGCAGGGUAGAGAUCGGGGUGUUGGCAAGUUCCUCAGCAGAGUGCCUCGAGCUCCCCUAGAAGAGUCCCCUGAGGGGGAUACCUUUUAUGCAUGCAUCAUUUAGGAGAUCAUAGCAUAUUGCAUAAUAAAUUGCGUAGCAUUUCCAUAAUUAUGGAGCAUUACGCUAAAAAUCAUCAUGCAUCAUCAUUGCAAGCAUCAGCUAGUCUCAAGCCGAGGUUGGCGUUUGAGAUUUGUGUUUCGCCAGUGGGUGAAGGUGCUACUCAAGCCGUGGUUACCGUUUGAGAGGUGGUCUCACUGGUUGGAAGAUCAACAUCAGCAUUGCAAGCAUAAGUUAACCCCAAGUCGUGGUUACUAUCCAAGAAUGGGUUUUGCCGGUCAGUGAAGAUGAUACUCUGAGGAGUUUAGCAUUGUGACGUUGGGUCAACGGUAUUCCCCAGUAGCGCGAUACUGGAGGAAGAUUUUUGUCGUGCGCCAGAAGGUGAAGAUGUUACUCCGAGGAGUUCGGCAUCGUGAUUUUGAAUCAACAACAUUCCCCAGUAGUGCGAUACUGGAGGAGAUUUCUGUCGUGCGAGAUAGAAAUUUGGAGAUGUUACUCUGAGGAGUUUAGCAUCAUGACGUCAGAUCAGCAAUGUUCCCCAGUAGUACGAUAUUGGAGGAAACUUUUCCGUCGGGUGGAGAUGGAAAUGAAAUCAAAGGACGUUACGCGAUCAGCGCGAGUAUGGGGUUCAAAUGGAGAAAAGGAAGUGUUGAGACAUUUUCUGGAGAGCGGGGUUCAAAUGGAGAAAAGGAAGUGUUGAGGCAUUUUCUGGAGAGCGGGGUUCAAAUGGAGAUUGGAGUUGAAGAUUAUAUCCGGGAUGAGGUCCUCAGGAUUAUCUUCUGUUCAUGUGUCACCUUAGACUUUGGCUGAGGUCAACAGAGGUCGUUAGAUGAGGUCCUCAGGAUUAUCUUCUGUUCAUGUGUCACCUUAGACUUUGGCUGAGGUCAACAGAGGUCGUUAUGGGUGUCUUCUGAGGAAGAGAUGCACAUGUUACCUUCCUUUUGUGAAGGUGUACUCUCUGAUAUGUCGCCAUCAGAGUGGUGUUUUGGUGUUAUUUCCGACGUUGCCAGCGGAAUUAUCACAAGUUUCUAGAGAGCGGGGUUCAAAUGGAGAAAAGGAAGUGUUGCGGCAUUUUCUGGAGAACGGGGUUCAAAUGGAGAAAGGGAGACACAGGGUGUUUUCUGGAGAGCGGGGUUCACAAUAGCGAUCGCGAGCUAUCUUCAGGCGACUGGGGUUCAAAAUGGAGAGUGGGGUUCAUUAUUUGUCAAACACGGUUACUAUGAAGUUGUCGGGGUUCAACUGCGGUGAUCCGGGAUCAUUCGCGCAAAGGAAAAUAUUUGUUCGGGGUUCAAGAAAACGAAAAAGAGGAAAUCAUAAGAAAGUUUUGGGGUUCAAGAAAAGCGAAAAAAUAAUAAUUAUUUUCCCAUCGGAGUACAAAUUGUUCGUCUGUUCUUGGUAUUCAAUCACUCUUCAACCUGAUC